UCGAGAAUCUUUCGCAAUGCCCGAAAGGGUGACGAAGCGACGCCGCGUGUGGGAAGAAGGCCUUCGGGUUGUAAACCACUGUCGGGAGUUAAGAAAUGUAAGGGUAUUAAUAGUAUCCUUACUGACUAAGCUCCG
rnacentral:rRNA from 1 species